GAAAAAUUGUGGUUGGAAGGAUAGAGGUGGUCAACCAUGUAUAAAUCAAUUCUACCAUUUGAUUCAUGUCUUCUUCCGUUAGAAAUCCACUAACUUUCGUUAUCCUAUGAUCUUCAGGAGUUUCAAGGUUGGAUGCUUCCUUUGAAUUGGUGGUUUGACUAAUUGAUCAUAAAGGUCCUCAGCUGAGGUCAUUGGUGUAUCGAGUUCCUACAACAUAUCCUCACAACGUAUUCUAGCCUUAACCCCUUAUGUCUCUAAUUGGUUCAACAGAUCAUGUAACCCAGACGAUGAAUUACUUAUUACUGUGUUUUUUGAGACCAGGUUCUCAGUGGUGGCUAGCAUAUCAAACACCUAAGUCUUAUUCGACUGAUAUGGAUUUACAUUGCUCAUCCUGCUUGAUUAAUUUCUUCCCUUUCCGAGUUGUUCUACGUACACUUGUGGGCUCAGAGAAUGAUACCAUGGCCAUUUUUCGUGACUGGGAAAGAAUCGAUUUCGAUGUCCAUCUCAAGCAUUCUCUUAUUUGCUAGCUUAAACAUACCCUCAUUAUUUUUUAAUAGAUUUUCAAAUGACAAUGCAAUUAAAUGUUGAGUGGUUGUUGGAGUUGCCUAUGAUGUCCUCAGCUUGAGGAAUCUUAUGACUAUCUAAUAUCCGGAUUUGCUUAUACUUAAGCAGAUAAUCAAAUAAUUGGCCAGCCUUAUGUCAAAGGCUUAUAACAUUCAAUCUUCUGAUGAACUUAUGUCAUUCCCUUAGGAGGACCUUAAGGCAGGCCAUGUAUAACUUUUCUCUUUUAGGAUCUCAAUCGUUAGAAUGUCUACUGUUGGAUCAACUGACAUAUCAUCAUCAGAAUUCUUGAUAUCUAUGAUAUAUAUUAAGUGUAUACCUCUCCCUCGGCUAGAACACCUAUUUUCUUUCUCUUUACUGAAUUUCACUGUUUUCUUCUAGGGAAGUCAAUUCAUUUGAUCAUGGCAGGCUAACCCAACCAAUUUCUCUUUUAGUUGUGGGUACAUGCCAUUGAUGGCCAAUGAUACAUAUUCGACGUUGGGAAGUUAUCCAAAACAUUUCACAACCAUUUUUAUGAACAUUUAAUGAAGCCAAAAACUGAUUCAUCCAUUUGUUGCUUCAUAUUCAUUAAAUAGGUUGUUGUAACCUUGGGUUGAGGACAAUAGAAUUUGUCAUAGAAGCAUCUUUUCAUGUAUGCCUAAGUUUUUACCGAGUUUGGUGGUAUACAGGAAUAUCACGUAAAUGAUGUUCAUGUCAACGAUAAAGGGAACAAGUGAAGUUUGUGGAAUUCGUUUGUGGAAAAUGUACAACGUAAUAUUACGUUGUACAUUUUCCAAUGAGCUCCAUGGUUGAUUUUCCAUCUUCCCGGGUAAAGGUAGAAUAGUCAGGAGUCUUAUAACCUCCAGGAAAAUGCAUUAAUUUGUCAACCCACUCAUGAUAAGUCUUCUUAUACACAUGUUAAUCCAUGGGGGUUUCAGCUGUAUCCUAAAGUACCUCUUGAUUGUAUCAAAUAUGAGGUUGAGAUCUAACAAUUGUGGUCCAAGAGGUCUUGCCUUGGUUUCAGCUAGCCGAAGCCACAUAUUUUUUUGGGGGAUUUUGAAAACCUUAUUGAGCUUGAACUUGAGGUGGGGGUAUUCCCCAUGGAUGAUCUUGGUUUAGCUCAAAAUUGCUCCUCUCUAAUGAUCUCCUACAACAAACAAAUUGUUAUAAUGGUGAUGCGAAUUAGGAGUCCAUGGUUGUUCACCAUUAUAUCCAACUGUUGGUCUAUGUGUCGUUAAACUCACUAAGGCUUGUACAUUUGCAUCUGGUCGUGGAAGGUAUUUUGUAGGAUUAGUUAAUAUAGGAGAAUUUACUAAUGAUUGUUGAAUCGGAUAAUAUACAAUUGGAUGUUGUAUUCAUGUUACUGGGUUGCAAGUGUAUCAUCUAGUGUAGGACAUGUUG
rnacentral:lncRNA from 1 species